rnacentral:rRNA from 1 species
ACGCUGGCGGCGUGCCUAAUACAUGCAAGUCGAACGGACAAGUAAGAGCUUGCUCUUAUGAGUUAGUGGCGCACGGGUGAGUAAUGUAUAGCUAAUCUGCCCUACACUAGAGGACAACAGUUGGAAACGACUGCUAAUACUCUAUACUCCUCUCUAGCAUAAGUUAGAUAGGGAAAGUUUUUCGGUGUAGGAUGAGGCUAUAUUGUAUCAGCUAGUUGGUGAGGUAAUGGCUCACCAAGGCUAUGACGCAUAACUGGUCUGAGAGGAUGAUCAGUCACACUGGAACUGAGACACGGUCCAGACUCCUACGGGAGGCAGCAGUAGGGAAUAUUGCUCAAUGGGGGAAACCCUGAAGCAGCAACGCCGCGUGGAGGAUGACACUUUUCGGAGCGUAAACUCCUUUUGUUAGGGAAGAACAAUGACGGUACCUAACGAAUAAGCACCGGCUAACUCCGUGCCAGCAGCCGCGGUAAUACGGAGGGUGCAAGCGUUACUCGGAAUCACUGGGCGUAAAGGACGCGUAGGCGGAUUAUCAAGUCUCUUGUGAAAUCCUAUGGCUUAACCAUAGAACUGCUUGGGAAACUGAUAAUCUAGAGUGAGGGAGAGGCAGAUGGAAUUGGUGGUGUAGGGGUAAAAUCCGUAGAGAUCACCAGGAAUACCCAUUGCGAAGGCGAUCUGCUGGAACUCAACUGACGCUAAUGCGUGAAAGCGUGGGGAGCAAACAGGAUUAGAUACCCUGGUAGUCCACGCCCUAAACGAUGUAUACUAGUUGUUGCUAAGCUAGUCUUGGCAGUAAUGCACCUAACGGAUUAAGUAUACCGCCUGGGGAGUACGGUCGCAAGAUUAAAACUCAAAGGAAUAGACGGGGACCCGCACAAGCGGUGGAGCAUGUGGUUUAAAUUCGAAGAU